GAUGAACGCUGGCGGCGUGCCUAAUACAUGCAAGUCGAGCGAACAGACGAGGAGCUUGCUCCUCUGACGUUAGCGGCGGACGGGUGAGUAACACGUGGAUGACCUACCUAUAAGACUGGGAUAACUUCGGGAAACCGGAGCUAAUACCGGAUAAUAUAUUGAACCGCAUGGUUCAAUAGUCAAAGACGGUUUUGCUGUCACUUAUAGAUGGAUCCGCGCCGCAUUAGCUAGUUGGUAAGGUAACGGCUUACCAAGGCGACGAUGCGUAGCCGACCUGAGAGGGUGAUCGGCCACACUGGAACUGAGACACGGUCCAGACUCCUACGGGAGGCAGCAGUAGGGAAUCUUGCGCAAAGGGCGAAAGCCUGACGGAGCAACGCCGCGUGAGUGAUGAAGGUCUUCGGAUCGUAAAACACUGUUAUUAGGGAAGAACAAAUGUGUAAGUAACUAUGCACGUCUUGACGGUACCUAAACAGAAAGCCACGGCUAACUACGUG
rnacentral:rRNA from 1 species